GACGAACGCUGGCGGCGUGCCUAAUACAUGCAAGUAGAACGCAGUUGCGAACGGGUGAGUAACGCGUAGGUAACUGCCUCAAAGCGGGGGAUAACUAUUGGAAACGAGAGCUAAUACCGCAUACUGUGAGAUGGACCUGCGUUGUAUUUGGUAGUUGGUGAGGUAAAGGCGUACCAAGGCGAACAUACAUAGCCGACCUGAGAGGGUGGUCGGUCACACCGGGAACGAGACACCGCCCCGGCUUCCACCGGAAGCAGCCGUAGGGAAUCUUCGGCAAUGGGCGGAAAUCUUGCCGAGCAAAGCCGCGUGAGUGAAGGAGGUUGUUGGAUCGUAAAGCUCUGUUGUUAGAGAAGCGGUACCUAACCAGAAAGCGACGGCUAACUACGUGCCAGCAGCCGCGGUAAUUC
rnacentral:rRNA from 1 species